UACGUAGGGACCGAGCGUUGUCCGGAUUCAUUGGGCGUAAAGAGCUCGUAGGCGGUGUGUCACGUCGGCCGUGAAAACUUGCAGCUUAACUGUGGGCGUGCGGUCGAUACGGGCAUCACUGGAGUUCGGCAGGGGAGACUGGAAUUCCUGGUGUAGGGGUGAAAGUGCGCAGAUAUCAGGAGGAACACCGGUGGCGGAAAGGGCCGGGACUCGUGGGACCCGAUGACUGGAACCGUCUGGAGGAGCGAAAUGGACGGGUAGGGGACGCGAAAAGCC
rnacentral:rRNA from 1 species